rnacentral:rRNA from 1 species
UACAGAGGUCUCGAGCGUUAGGCGGAAUCACUGGGCUUAAAGCGUGUGUAGGUGGAUCGUUAAGUACCUUGUGAAAUCCCACGGCUUAACCGUGGAACUGCUUGGUAUACUGGCGGUCUUGAGCCAGCUAGGGGCUACCGGAACAAAUGGUGGAGCGGUGAAAUGCGUAGAUAUCUGGAGGAAUACCGGUGGCGAAGGCGGCAUCCUGGACCGACAUUGACGCUGAGGAGCGAAAGCUAGGGGAGCAAACGGG